rnacentral:misc_RNA from 1 species
GAGAAGGUUGCUGGUUUCAACUCACCAAUAUCUGUCCAUACAAAGUAGAGAAACACAAGGAGGAGUAGGAUAAGAAUUUGAUGACUAACAUAGUGAUGACAUUCAAUAACCUCACCGGAGAUGCAAAUUUACAGAAGCAGAAUUGAAGUCACCCUUGGCGAAAAAGGGUGUAGUGUACAAUAAGCAUCUCUUAUUCUUUGAUUUAUGCUCACAAACUGAGCCAUCAUUGUUCAAGAUUUACCAAAUAGAAA